AAACAGAGAGAGAAGAACAAACACACAGAACAAUAUUCUAUUAUAUACAUCAUUGUGCAGUAGACACAGAACAUUAUCCCACAUACAACGAAACAGAAUACACAGAGGGAAUCGAGCUAACGUGUGAUGGAGGUACAAUGGAGUGUUAGAGGUUCGGUAAUACUGAGGGAGAGGCAAAGAGAGGUAGACAGAGAGAAAGAGAUGUAGAGAGAGAAGAGGUGGAGAGAGAGGUGGAGAGAGGUGUAGAGAGGUGUGGAGAGAGAGAGAUGUAGAAAGAGAUGUAGAGAGAGAAGAGGUGGAGAGAGAGGUGGAGAGAGAGGUGGGGAGAGGUGUGGGGAGAGGUGUGGGGAGAGAGGUGUGGGGAGAGGUGUAGAGAGAGAGAGAUGUAGAAAGAGAAGAGGUGGAGAGAGGUGUAGAGAGAGAGAGAGAUGUAGAAAGAGAAGAGGUGGAGAGAGGUGUAGAGAGAGAGAGAUGUAGAAAGAGAUGUAGAGAGAGAAGAGGUGUGGAGAGAGGUGUAGAGAGAGGUGUAGAGAGAGGUGUAGAGAGAGGUGUAGAGAGAGGUGUAGAGAGAGGUGUAGAGAGAGGUGUAGAGAGAGGUGGAGAGAGGUGUAGAGAGAGGUGUAGAGAGGUAGAGAGGUGUAGAGAGAGGUGUAGAGAGAGGUGUAGAGAGAGGUGUAGAGAGAGGUGUAGAGAGGUGUAGAGAGGUGUAGAGAGAGGUGUAGAGAGAGAAGAGGUGGAGAGAGGUGUAGAGAGAGGGAAGAGGUGGAGAGAGGUGUAGAGAGAGGUGUAGAGAGAGGUGUAGAGAAAGAGAGUUGGAGCGAAAGCAAGCGAGCGUAAGGAGAGAUGAUGGCAACUUCCAACCUGCGUUCGUCUUUGUCUAGCCUCUGCAGAGUCCCCAGCAACCGAAAGUUCCGGUUUUCAGGGGAAAUGGAAAGAGAGCCUGUGAUGCAACUUCCCGCUUUUGGACGUUAACAAAGCGACACUCCAUCUUAACUCCUCCUCCACAUUUACUGGAUUGGUUGAACAGUGCAAAAGAGAACCUCCCUUUUUCUCCUCGUCAAGACCAGUACAUAGUGGAGAUAGCGUCAGGCCGUUGGGUUAGUCUUUGUCAAGCGUGAAUAUCUGGCGAGCGGAUAUGCUGCAUCUUCUGUCGAAAUGUAUUUCCCUGUUGGGACAAUAAAGAUUGAAUUGAAGAGCG